rnacentral:tRNA from 1 species
GAAGUUGUGCCUGAUAAAAGGGUUAUUUUGAUAGAGUAAACAUAAGGGUUAAAUUCCCUUCAACUUCU